UACGAAGGGUGCAAGCGUUAAUCGGAAUUACUGGGCGUAAAGCGCGCGUAGGUGGUUCAGUAAGUUGGAUGUGAAAUCCCCGGGCUCAACCUGGGAACUGCAUCAAAAACUGCUGAGCUAGAGUACGGUAGAGGGUGGUGGAAUUUCCUGUGUAGCGGUGAAAUGCGUAGAUAUAGGAAGGAACACCAGUGGCGAAGGCGACCACCUGGACUGAUACUGACACUGAGGUGCGAAAGCGUGGGGAGCAAACAGG
rnacentral:rRNA from 1 species